GAUGAACGCUGGCGGCGUGCCUAAUACAUGCAAGUCGAGCGAACGGACGAGAAGCUUGCUUCUCUGAUGUUAGCGGCGGACGGGUGAGUAACACGUGGAUCACCUACCUAUAUGACUGGGGUAACUUCGGGAAACCGGAGCUAAUACCAGAUAAUAUUUUGAACCGCAUGGUUCAAAAGUGAAAGACGGUCUUGCUGUCACUUAUAGAUGGAUCCGCGCUGCAUUAGCUAGUUGGUAAGGUAACGGCUUACCAAGGCAACGAUGCAUAGCCGACCUGAGAGGAUGAUCGGCCACACUGGAACUGAGACACGGUCCAGACUCCUACGGGAGGCAGCAGUAGGGAAUCUUCCGCAAUGGGCGAAAGCCUGACGGAGCAACGCCGCGUGAGUGAUGAAGGUCUUCGGAUCGUAAAACUCUGUUAUUAGGGAAGAACAUAUGUGUAAGUAACUGUGCACAUCUUGACGGUACCUAAUCAGAAAGCCACGGCUAACUACGUG
rnacentral:rRNA from 1 species